rfam:Capsicum annuum cultivar Zunla-1 chromosome 1, whole genome shotgun sequence
UGUUGAUAAUGUGGACAAUCCUAAAGAAGAACUUUGAACCUCUCCCAUGCAUGAUAUAAGUUCUCAUCUGGCUUUUGUUUGAAGCAUACAAUCUCACUGUGCAGUCU